AUACGGAGGGUGCAAGCGUUGUUCGGAAUCACUGGGCGUAAAGGGCGCGCAGGCGGUUUUACAAGUCAGAUGUGAAAGCCCACGGCUCAACCGUGGAAGUGCAUUUGAAACUGUAAGACUUGAGUAUCAGAGGGGAAGGUGGAAUUCCCGGUGUAGAGGUGAAAUUCGUAGAUAUCGGGAGGAAUACCGGUGGCGAAGGCGACUUUCUGGCUGAAUACUGACGCUGAGGCGCGAAAGCGUGGGGAGCAAACAGGAUUAGAGACCCUAGUAGUCC
rnacentral:rRNA from 1 species